rnacentral:lncRNA from 1 species
GGGCGCGUUUGGCAACGAUUCUGUUCCCGGGAGCUGAUUCUGACUAGAAAUGAUUAUUUUUGAUUAUGUUCCCGGGAACUGAUUCUGAGUAAAAAAGCGCGUUUUGUAACUGUUUAAAAUUUUUGAUUCUGGAAUAGAAUUGCGUUUGGUACCAUAUUAAUUGAUUCUGUUCCAAAUUAAUUUCUUUUGAUUUUUAAAUAAAUUUUAAAUAAUUUCUUUACUU